UUGGACAGGAAAGUUCCAGGCUUCAGCUCCCAGAAACCACCUUCCUUCAUGUGGAGGGACGCAGCCUCAUAAGGAGAAACUUUUCCAUUAAAACACAAUGCUCCGAAAGGUUUGUCGCAGGUAACGCGUUCCUUGUAUUCAGCAAGGGCGGUAUAUCUGCAGUGUCUUCUUCCUGGGCCCACACUCUGUGAAGGUCAGUCUCAUACUCAACCCAGUGUGCUGAGAAACAGGAGAGUGACUGAUACAAACAACUUAUUUGAGCAUAUUUACCUGAAACAGUAUUUAAAAAACUGAGCAUAUCUUAUGACAAGAAUCUCAUGCUUUAAAACUCUAAACUAUAUCCCUAUGCAAAUUACUGACAAUGUGCGUUUUAACAUCAGCAUUGUACUUUCAACCUUAGGUCUAGGGUUACCAAGUGCUGUGGCACUGCUUUGAUACCUUAUAGUUUCCAGUUCCAGUUUACAAACAUAACAUGCCUUUAUAGUUCUCAGCGCUCCUUAAAUAUGUGGAUUGGAAUUCUAAUUCCUUUAAAUUUCAUGUUGAGUUCUCAGUUUCUCUGCAGCUACUAUAGCUGCUCUGAGUUGAGGUAAUUCAAAGUCUCUUUAAAAGAAGCUAGGGCAUUUCUCUGUUAUGCAAUUCCUUCUGUUGCAUUGGAGAAACACCGAGUAAUGCAGCUACGUUGGAAAAUGCUGUCAUUCCCAAAUCUAAGUAUCCUUUAAUGGGGCCUACUGCCAGUACCUUUCUUCCACUAAAUUGUUUUGAACACAUGCUGCUGCUAUUGUUGAACUCACUGCUUUUAAGUAUACGAAUAUUAAGCUUCCGAGCUGUGGGCAGGAAGACCCCCCUGAUGAAUUACAACCCCUCUCAGAUCCCAUGACCCUACUGCCUCCGCCAUCAGAUCCCACAGCAGCAGACUUCGGGGAUGCCGUGAGAUCCAGGGGUGCCUGGGAACGGUUUGCCUCUCCCUCUGUGCCCUGCCCAGCCCUGCGGCCCACACGUGUGCGUGUAGCACAGUUUGUUCUUCUAAGGACACGUUCCAGAAUUACUGGAGUCUCCUGAAUGCUGAGAUGAAUAGACUGGGUGAGCUUUAGGUGCUGCACCUGUCCUUCAAAAUGAAACUGCACGGAGGCCCGCAGAGUCUCCCCGGGAAAUAGGGACUGAGGACACGUUCCAUCUGGGUUAUGCUUUCACCCCUGCAGCCCCUAGUCUGCCCCCCUGUCCUCAGAAACAGCUCAGUCCUUUUCUCAUCUUCUAUUUCUUGAACACACGUCUUGUUUCCACCCAUCGGUUAUGGUUGGAGAAGCAUUUCAAGAAAACACCUGUUAGGGCUUUUUGUGUGUGUUAAGCCGCUGUGCUGAGCCAACCAGCCCUCCAGACUUAUAUGCAAUGAGCCCUGUGGCUUUACACGGUAUCUUGAUGAAGAAAAUGUUAUUUAAAUCAUGCUCUAAAACAACAAUUGGAUUUCAGUGCAAUUACAGAAAACCUUUUCAUCAAGAUGUCUAUGAAUGAAAUACUGAUUUUAACAGGCUGCCCAUUUUCAACAGCAUAAAAUCACGCAUUCAAAACCAUGAUGAGCCCCUUAAAUUUUAGGAUUGAGUUUCACUUCCUCACUGACAUUUUGUGAAAAACAACACCCGCAAGAGGCCUAAACAGGGCGAUCAGAACCAAGAAAACUUAAGGAAGUAUUUGCACGUUUUGAUGUGUUUAUUUAUUUGGGAUGCGUGGAGGCUCUGAAUGGAGAAAGUCGUCGAUGCCUGCACUGCUCUUGGCCUGUUCUUUAUGUUCUGCGCGGUGACAGCUUUAAGAUGAAGGAGGAACAUAAAGGGUUUCAUCACAGGAAAUAGAACUAUUGCUUUAUUCAAACAUUUAAAAAAUAAAUACAAUAAAUCAGGGUUUUUCCCCUUUCCGAGUAUUAAAUACAGAUGUACUGUAUGCAUAUGAAAUUUUUGAUUAAAAUGUCUUUCACCAGUCUGUCUCUUUAAUUAAAUAAAGCCUGUUUGGUAUU
rnacentral:lncRNA from 1 species